AUAAGAUGACAGCCAAGAAUUCAAUGUUGACAUUUGCUAAAAACUAUCGUGAAAGUAAUAAAAAAAAAUAAACGAAGAAGACUUGAAAGUUGAAAGAAUAAUGUUAUUUUUAUUAUAACCUAAAUUACAAAUUAAAAACAAAAAUAAACCGUAAGAUGAGUACGCAAGCUACAUCACCUACUCCGAGAGUCCGGCAGGCCCCGCCGGAGCCCCGCGCUAGGCAACCGCCGCCCCCGCCGCGACGUGCUAAUGCGCAAGCGCCGCCGCCCCCGCGAGAACGACAGCCACCUCCACCACCCCGGCAACGACAACCCCCACCGCCACCACGCGAUCGCCAUCAACCGGAUUUCUAUUAGAUUUUAACAUACUUACCUAUCCAUAUAGAAAAUAUCAAUUUUUGUAACAACAUUGUUAUCCAUUUCAUACCAAUUUUUUUAUAGUUCUACUACCUAUCUAAUACCUACUAACUACAGAAUUUAUACUAGUACCUAAGUACCUACUCAGACAGCUGACUAUUAUGUACAAUUAAUGUCUUUAGUUAGAUAAAAACUAUUUUUGAAAUAGGUACAUUGCAGCCUUGGAAUGUUUUGUACCUACCUACCCAUAUUAGCUAUAGAAAUGAUUAUGUUUGUAUAGUUAUAUUCAGAGAGAGAUAGGUAAGUAGGUAUAUUAAUUAAGUGUUUAGGGAAGUAGUAUUUAUACAAAAUUGUUAUUGGGUAUGAAAGCAGAGCUCACCAAGCUUAUUUAUGGGAAAUCCCCCAACAAAAUAAGACAAAGUUUUAAAGGGUUGGUACCACUGUGUAAUUGUCAUAGCUUUUUAUUGUUAAAUUAGUAGGUAUGUGAGAUUAGAUAGGUCGGUUCAUUAUUAAAAAAAUAAUAUAAUUUUGUUACUAACUGAACUUUUAUAUCUUUAUCAUAAAGUUAACUUGUGAUUUUCUAGUUUUCGGUGUUCUAUGAGGAUUGUUGAAUCGUUUUUUUACUGCAUGAUCAUGAUUAAAUGUCUCGUAAAUAAAUAAUACUAUACAUAUUUCGUAAAACUAUUUGUUUAUUUUAUUAUCUUAUCAGUGUUACUAAGGUAGGUAUUUUAUUUUAUGUAUAGUGUAAAAAUAGGUGGUUCUUAGGGUUACUUUAGGGUUAAAAGUCCAAUCAGUUUCUCGCAAAAUAAUAGAAUAACAAACUGGUUGUCAUGAGUCUUAAGUGCAACCAGUGGUAUGAGGUAUAACUAGAGGCGAAACUUGUACUAUUUGAAAGCUCUAACACUACCCAUGUCACACUUACAGGUAGUACCUACCUACCUUAAACCAAUCUUCAGUUAGUAUACUACGUAAUCCACCCAGUUCGAUGCGUAAAGGUUACGGGCUCGGCGAUCGGAAUCGUCUAAUAAAUAAUUGGUGGUCCUAACCAUGGUACCUACGAUCUUGAGUGAGUCUAAUAGCGUCGAUUUUUCCGAACUCGAUGCGCCAGCCCCAAUCUUGACGCAUCGGGCUGGGUGGAUUGGGUAAUCUGACCCCGUUCAGGAACGCGCAGCGCGUCAAGUGGCGUGAGGCGUGAACAAUGACAAUGUACUGAGCGUUCACGGAGAAGCAUUUUUGCAGGCGUUUGUUUGAAUUGUAGCAUCACAUAUGGCGGUACACGCCGCGGGCGACGUGGUAUAGGUGCGUGAAAAAAGGUGAACAUACAAAGUGUGAUCGCGCUACAGUGUGCUCAAGCAAGCAAUCAUGCUAUAGCGCGCGUAAGCAUUCUUAGUCGUGCUGCCAGAUGUGGUUCAACCCUAAUUUUCGAACGCUCUUCCGUUGUCGCUGUGUGGGUUGACGGAAGUCGCUGAUUGUCCAGGCUUGUGAUAAUACAAAUCCAGUGCCGAAUACGCAACGAAGCGUGCAGUACAAUGCAGUCAGUGUCUCCAUAUUUCAUUUUUAUUUUCCUACUCAUAAUCAACAAUGUAAUAUCGCGACAAAUGGAAAAACACGUCAACCCUCGCAGCGUUGAUAUUACAAACGUGAAGAAUAUUCAGGUGAAGUUUGCUGGCAUGGAAGAUUCUCCGCAAUGGAUCGAAGGAGCGAAUUGCCCAGAAGGAUACAAGUUGGCUGACGGGGUAUGUCGAGAAGUGUGGUACGAUGACUUCUCAGUGGACGAAGCGUAUUAAAUUUUAUUGGAUUGGAACUUUUAUUCUGUUACCAUGUGUUAUAGGUAGUUACCUAUUUUACAAUGUGAUUGAUAAUAAAAAGCACAACUUGGAGAAAGGAAA
rnacentral:lncRNA from 1 species